rnacentral:rRNA from 1 species
GCAGUCGAGCGAGCUGAAUUCAAAGAUUCCUUCGGGAUGAUUUGUUGGACGCUAGCGGCGGAUGGGUGAGUAACACGUGGGCAAUCUGCCCUAAAGACUGGGAUACCACUUGGAAACAGGUGCUAAUACCGGAUAACAACAUGAAUCGCAUGAUUCAAGUUUGAAAGGCGGCGCAAGCUGUCACUUUAGGAUGAGCCCGCGGCGCAUUAGCUAGUUGGUGGGGUAAAGGCCUACCAAGGCAAUGAUGCGUAGCCGAGUUGAGAGACUGAUCGGCCACAUUGGGACUGAGACACGGCCCAAACUCCUACGGGAGGCAGCAGUAGGGAAUCUUCCACAAUGGACGCAAGUCUGAUGGAGCAACGCCGCGUGAGUGAAGAAGGUCUUCGGAUCGUAAAGCUCUGUUGUUGGUGAAGAAGGAUAGAGGCAGUAACUGGUCUUUAUUUGACGGUAAUCAACCAGAAAGUCACGGCUAACUACGUGCCAGCAGCCGCGGUAAUACGUAGGUGGCAAGCGUUGUCCGGAUUUAUUGGGCGUAAAGCGAGCGCAGGCGGAAUGAUAAGUCUGAUGUGAAAGCCCACGGCUCAACCGUGGAACUGCAUCGGAAACUGUCAUUCUUGAGUGCAGAAGAGGAGAGUGGAACUCCAUGUGUAGCGGUGGAAUGCG